UUCCAUAAAAAGUAUUAAAACCAUGAUCAGGAAGGUGGUUUUCCCAGGGCGAGGCUCAUCCAUUGCACACCGGAUGUGCUGACCCCUGUGAUUUCCCCAAAUGUGGGAAACUUAACUGCAUAAUUUGUGAUAGUGGGGGACUGUGUUCAUGCUUUCCCCUU
ensembl:snRNA U1 U1 spliceosomal RNA